CCCAUGUGGUUAUGCACUUCCCUCUAGGGUCUUUCAACGGACUCAACCCUGGUUGUGGGUAUGCGCUUCGUCGUACGUCGCUCUGGCUAAGAGCGUCUGUCAAUUCCUAUAAUGUAAUGUAAUAUAAUGCACGAGUGGAGACGUACUUUCCCUCCUCGUCGACUUCUGCCGGAGCGUUUCCCAGCUUCCGUUGCUCUUCCAACUCCUUCUUCUUCCUCCAGUCCUCCCUGGUCAUCUUCUUGGGCUCUUCCAAGGCCUCCAGUCCGACCACCCCCUCCGACUCCUGCGCGGUCCGGUCUGCGCUCUCUUCAGGCAUGGUUCGCCUCGAUCAACGCCUGUAAGAGAAGCGCGACUAAAAUCUGCAACUACAAAACAGCUAUAGCUACGGACUGCGACAGACGCUAGCUGCGUUUAGCCAACUUCACCAUGGCCCGUCCACGACGUCGCCAUAUUCCCAGGAUGCAGUGCGAAUUCAGUUACGUCACGAAAAAAGAAAAGAAAAAAGGUUGGUCACUGAACUGUGAUUUUACCGGGGUUUGCCCUUAUUGGAAAUCGGACGGCUACGGCAUUUAAUAAACGUUACUGGGCGUGUCAAUAAAUUAGAACAAAUACA